GUCAGAAGCUCCGCGGCAUGGACUUUGACACGCUCCUCCGCGUGCAAUAUGAGCACCAUAGCCUUGUAUGUUUGUGAUGUGUUGUAUUUUCCUUCGCCGUUUUUUAUUCGGAGGUUUCAUGUGUGUUGUUUUUGGGCAGGGUCAUCACAUGGCUGCUGCCUUGGAGGAGCGGUGCUCCCGAGAGGUUAUUUGCCGUGAUGAAGCAAUUG
rnacentral:lncRNA from 1 species